rnacentral:rRNA from 1 species
GAUUAAAGGUAUUCCGGUAGACGAUGGGGAUGCGUUCCAUUAGAUAGUAGGCGGGGUAACGGCCCACCUAGUCUUCGAUGGAUAGGGGUUCUGAGAGGAAGGUCCCCCACAUUGGAACUGAGACACGGUCCAAACUCCUACGGGAGGCAGCAGUGAGGAAUAUUGGUCAAUGGGCGCAGGCCUGAACCAGCCAAGUAGCGUGAAGGAUGACUGCCCUAUGGGUUGUAAACUUCUUUUAUAAAGGAAUAAAGUCGGGUAUGUAUACCCGUUUGCAUGUACUUUAUGAAUAAGGAUCGGCUAACUCCGUGCCAGCAGCCGCGGUAAUACGGAGGAUCCGAGCGUUAUCCGGAUUUAUUGGGUUUAAAGGGAGCGUAGAUGGAUGUUUAAGUCAGUUGUGAAAGUUUGCGGCUCAACCGUAAAAUUGCAGUUGAUACUGGAUAUCUUGAGUGCAGUUGAGGCAGGCGGAAUUCGUGGUGUAGCGGUGAAAUGCUUAGAUAUCACGAAGAACUCCGAUUGCGAAGGCAGCCUGCUAAGCUGCAACUGACAUUGAGGCUCGAAAGUGUGGGUAUCAAACAGGAUUAGAUACCCUGGUAGUCCACACGGUAAACGAUGAAUACUCGCUGUUUGCGAUAUACAGCAAGCGGCCAAGCGAAAGCGUUAAGUAUUCCACCUGGGGAGUACGCCGGCAACGGUGAAACUCAAAGGAAUUGACGGGGGCCCGCACAAGCGGAGGAACAUGUGGUUUAAUUCGAUGAUACGCGAGGAACCUUACCCGGGCUUAAAUUGCAGAUGAAUUACGGUGAAAGCCGUAAGCCGCAAGGCAUCUGUGAAGGUGCUGCAUGGUUGUCGUCAGCUCGUGCCGUGAGGUGUCGGCUUAAGUGCCAUAACGAGCGCAACCCUUGUUGUCAGUUACUAACAGGUUCCGCUGAGGACUCUGACAAGACUGCCAUCGUAAGAUGUGAGGAAGGUGGGGAUGACGUCAAAUCAGCACGGCCCUUACGUCCGGGGCUACACACGUGUUACAAUGGGGGGUACAGAGGGCCGCUACCACGCGAGUGGAUGCCAAUCCCCAAAACCUCUCUCAGUUCGGACUGGAGUCUGCAACCCGACUCCACGAAGCUGGAUUCGCUAGUAAUCGCGCAUCAGCCACGGCGCGGUGAAUACGUUCCCGGGCCUUGUACACACCGCCCGUCAAGCCAUGGGAGCCGGGGGUGCCUGAAGUGCGUAACCGCGAGGAGCGCCCUAGGGUAAAACUGGUGACUGGGGCUAAGUCGUAACAAGGUA